GUACAGGAUGGGCUCGCGUCUGAUUAGCUAGUUGGUGAGGUAACGGCUCACCAAGGCGACGAUCAGUAGCCGACCUGAGAGGGUGAACGGCCACACUGGAACUGAGACACGGCCCAGACUCCUCCGGGAGGCAGCAGUGAGGAAUUUUCCGCAAUGGGCGCAAGCCUGACGGAGCACGCCGCGUGAGCGAUGAAGGCCUUCGGGUCGUAAAGCUCUGUCCUAAGGGAAGAAUAAAUGACGGUACAAUAAGAGGAAGCCACGGCUAACUACGUGCCAGCAGCCGCGGUAAUACGUAGGUGGCAAACGUUGUCCGGAAUUACUGGGCGUAAAGGGCGAGUAGGUGGUUUACUGAGUCGGCUGUGAAAACUCUGGGCUUAACCCGGAGAUUGCAGUUCAUACUGGGUAACUUGAGUGCAGGAGAGGAAAGUGGAAUUCCUAGUGUAGCGGUGAAAUGCGUAGAUAUUAGGAGGAACACCAGUGGCGAAGGCGACUUUCUGGACUGUAACUGACGCUGAGGCGCGAAAGCGUGGGGAGCAAACAGGAUUAGAUACCCUGGUAGUCCACGCCGUAAACGAUGAGUGCUAGGUGUAGAGGGUAUCGACCCCUUCUGUGCCGCAGUUAACACAAUAAGCACUCCGCCUGGGGAGUACGGUCGCAAGACUGAAACUCAAAGGAAUUGACGGGGGCCCGCACAAGCAGCGGAGCAUGUGGUUUAAUUCGACGCAACGCGAAGAACCUUACCAGGUCUUGACAUCCUCUGACAACCCAAGAGAUUGGGCUUUCUAGCUUCGGUUAGACACAGAGACAGGUGGUGCACGGUUGUCGUCAGCUCGUGUCGUGAGAUGUUGGGUUAAGUCCCGCAACGAGCGCAACCCUUGUCCUUAGUUGCCAGCAUGAAAGAUGGGCACUCUAGGGAGACUGCCGGUGAUAAACCGGAGGAAGGUGGGGAUGACGUCAAAUCAUCAUGCCCCUUAUGUCCUGGGCUACACACGUGCUACAAUGGGCUGAACAGAGGGAAGCGAGACCGCGAGGUGGAGCCAAUCCCAUAAAACAGCUCUCAGUUCGGAUUGGAGUCUGCAACUCGACUCCAUGAAGUUGGAAUCGCUAGUAAUCGCGGAUCAGCAUGUCGCGGUGAAUACGUUCCCG
rnacentral:rRNA from 1 species